GACCAUCUAUAAAAAGCCUUUGUAUUUCUGUCUUUGUUACAUCUAAUUAGCUAUCCUUCUUUUCUUCAUUCACAUAAAAGAACAUGCCAACCAUCCCUCGCGCUCGAGUUAUUGUCAAUGGAGUCCAGAGAAUGAGGACAUACCAUUACUAUUGGUGUAGACAUUGUCAAAGAUCCAUAAGGACAACCUCAGCCAAUCCAUUUGAAAUUUUAUGUCCUCAUUGUUAUAGUCAAGUUUUCUAUGAACUUGAUGUGACAAGGCCUAGGCUUGUACUUUCUAAUGUUACAAGGCUACAACCACAACCUUCAUCAAAUUCUCGCCUUCUUGAUGCUUUGGCACUCAUGGUUGAUCCACCAAUUAGGCAACUAAACAGCGAUAUUGGUGAUGAAAAUCAUCGUAGGAGUACUAGACAACGUGCUCGUGUCAUUCUCCAAUUUAUUGGCCCUGAUGAUCAACCUGUUAGGCCUGUCUCUCCUGAUGAGAACGCGUUUAGUUUUCCAUCCCUUCAAGAAUUGAUUGAUCAUGACAGGCCUGGGCCACCUCCAACGCCAUCUUCAGCAAUCGAUGCAUUGCCAAGAAUUGUCCUGACACCAAACCUGUUGGAAAAUGACUCCGUUUGUCCUGUUUGCAAGGAUGAGUUUGAAGUUGGGAUACAAGUUAUAGAGUUACCUUGCAAGCAUUUUUAUCAUUCUGAAUGCAUUGUUCCAUGGCUUAGACUCCAUAAUACUUGUCCCGUUUGUCGGUAUCAACUGCAAGGAUUCUCAAACAAUGAGGAUCAAACUGGUACCAAUUAUGAAUUUAAUGAACAACAAGAAGAAGAGGAGAACAUACAGAAUCCUCUCAUUUGGGGUUGGACUCAGCUUACCUCUCUUUGGCCUUUUAGUUUGAUAUCAAGUUUGAGAGAAAGAUACUUUAACACUUUUGAGACUACAACUUCUGCUUUUCCUAGAGGGAGAGCUUGGUGGAAUCCUUGGAUUUUCUCUUGAUAAUGGUUUCUUAUUUCAUUUAAUAACAGUACAAAGUAGUUUGUUUUUAUCAUUCUUUGCUUCAAUAGGAACUAAACAGGUAUGUUGAUAAAACUAUAUAUCUUUCUGAAUUCGAUGGAUGGAAAUUAUCUGAGAAUGGGAUCAAAAAGAUUUAUAAGGUAUGCGUCUAUCUAUCCUUCCUUCUUUCUCAAAAAAAUAAAUGAAUGAAUUGAAGUUAUAUACACUGACUAGAAGCUCACAAGAACGUGUUACAUCAUAUAUAUAUAUAUAUUGAUUAUUAAAUAUGAAAUUGACCCUUUACUAAUAGCUUACAGAUUUCAAGGGUACUAUCAAAGUGAUGGAAUUAUUUUCAGGCACAAAUAUGCAUAGAAGAAUUGGAGAGAAAAAGAAGCCCCACUUUUUCCAUGUUCAAUGUGAUUUUAUGGACCAAAAUUUAUAUUUGUCUUUCAUGGUCAAAAUUAUAUGGCAAUCAACAACCUCAAACUCAAAAUUUAGUAUUUUUUUUUUUUAGAAUGAUGAUGAUACCACUAAUAAACAAAUUCAUUUGUUGUGGUAGGUGAAGGAAUGAUCGUUUAUCUCACGAUUAUAUUUAGUUUCAUUUAUAAAAUUAUUGAAUAUAUAUUAAUAUAAAUUAUAAUUUAUAUAUAUAAAAUAUAUUUUAUGUAUUCAUUAUAUUAUUAGGUAUGUUUUUAAUUGUUCACUGUAUUGUUAUUGUAUAUACAUAGAAAAAUAUAUUUUAUGUAUUCGAUAUGUUCUCCAAUUUCAAAUUUCCUCCCUAAACUCCUAACCCCAAAAUAAAACUAUAUCGGGUGCAUCUGCAAUUUAUGAGAAACUACGAGGGGCGUUAGAGCAAUUAAUACCGAUUUGGCAGUCGUUAAAAUAUCGGGUAUAUGGUUCGGGUUUUGAAUAUUUGUCGGAGCCGAAUGGAAAUGGCGGGUUGGGCAUCCCUUCCAUCCAAUCCCAAAUUUCAUCAGACGGUAUCCACAUGGGGUCCCACAACCACCUACAUCAUCACCAACGCCGCCGCUCUCCGCCUCGGCGACGCCCUCCACCGUCGUCUUCAAUCCUCUAUCAAGCAUAUCUUUUGUCAUGUUCAUGGCCCUAUAUUGAAGGAUGCAUGUCAUAAAUGGACCCUUCAUGUCACUGGAUUCAACAUCCUUCAGUGGUCACAGGAUGUCUUCUCUGCCGAAGACAUGAGCUUAUUAUUCUUCAGCGCUGAUGAAAGUAGAAGGAAAUUUAGAAAGAUUCAGAAUUCAUACUCAAAGUCAUCAAGAUCAUUCUUUUCCAGUGAAAGGAAAUGGACCAACAUAUUCCUUGCACUUAACAUAUUGAUAUAUAUUGCACAAGUCGCAACAGAAGGCAAGCUUUUAUUUUGGGGAGCUAAGAUUAACAGUCUUAUUGACAAAGGGCAACUAUGGAGGCUGAUUACUUCGUCAUUCUUGCAUACAAACAUAGUGCAUCUCAUGGUUAAUUGUUAUUCCUUGAAUUCAGUUGGGCCUGGUGUUGAAAAAGUUAGUGGCCCUAAAAGAUAUGUUGCUCUGUACUUGACGUCUGCAAUUGCAAGUUCAGCUAUGAGUUACUGGCUUAGUAAGGCACCUGCAGUCGGUGCCUCAGGAGCAAUUUUUGGAUUAGUUGGAUCUUUUGCAGUAUUCGUUUUGAGGCAUAGGGGCAUGGUCAAAGGCACCGAGGGGGAUCUUCGAUACAUAGCAAAUGUGAUUGUUCUAAAUUUGGCAAUUGGACUAAUGACCAAAGGGAUCGACAACUGGGGACAUCUCGGAGGUUUAAUGGGAGGAGCUGCAACAUCAUGGCUUCUUGGCCCAGCAUGGGAGAUUCAGUCCAUCUCCAGUGAAGGAAGACGAGUAUUUGCUGACACAGCACCAAUUUUUUCUCUCAUUCCAACUAAAAGGGACAAGUCAUAAUCCCUACUAUUUAAACUGGCUGACAUGACUCAAGCCUUGAGCACCUGCUGAUUUUCCCAAUACAUAUGCAAGUGUGGCAUCUAUAUAUUAUUAAUGAAUACACUUGUGGUGGUUUAUUAAUGAUCCUGUUCCCAAGUCUGCUGUGCAUGGUUUGCCUUUCUUUGUACAUGGAAUAUGUGACCAUAGAACAUGUAAAGAGCAAAUUAGAGGUCAGGCAUCUAUUUACCUCGCGUUCAUUAGCUGCUUCUGGUGCUGAAGUGUUUCCAGUCAGUAUUUUUGUUUUCAGACGGUUUUUAAAGAGGCUCUUAGGUGGUGUGUAUCUAAUGUACACUUUUAUGCACGUCUGGCCCUUUGUAGAAUAAUCCAGUCGAUAAAUGUGCUUUAAACAAUUUAUAAUUCAAAAUCCAGUAUCCGUUCUUAUUCA